AAGGAGACAAAAUCAGAAACAAAAGAAGAGAAGAGAGCAGAGAAGGAUGAGAAGAUCUUGCCAGAGGAGAAGAACACAACUUCUGUUGCGCUUCCUUGCAUUGAUAAGCUUCGAGACGAGUUGUCUUGUGCAAUUUGUCUUGAGAUUUGUUAUGAACCAAGUACUACAACUUGUGGACACAGGUACAUCUUACUACACAACAAACACCACAAAGUUGUCAUUGUGCGGUGAAUUUGAAAUGGCAAAUAAUGCACAGUUAAUACAGUUCUUUGGAACACAAUCCAGCUUAUGUUCCCUAAAGAAGUGGAAGCAUAGAGAGCUGCUGCUUCUGCUAAUUUCCUAACCAAGGAAACGCCAAGCCCUAGAGACUCUAAUCAGAAGGUAACAAGCAGGAACAGAGAUACGGCGUUUCAAGCUAGGUUGCAGAGAGAGGAUAUCUCGAGGUUACUUGUGUCUGAAGAGAGAAGGAGGAGAGGCGUGAGGUUGGAUCAAGAUAGCGAUGCAGCGUUUGCGUUGCGGUUACAGCGGCAGGAAUUUGCGUCUGCCUUUGGCGGUUGCAGAGGGAUGCAUUGCCUCUUUUCAGUAUGCUAAGAGUAAAAUUUAAGUCUUGCAUAGAUAGAGAACCACAGCUUAACGAGACGCAGAUAACAAACUCAAAGUGGUGAAAACUCCAAAUGCUGUGAAUCCCCUUGUACUUGGUUCUUUUGUAAAGAUGGUCAGUGUGUGCAGAGAGCAGAAGUAAAUGGCAAAUAUAGUAAAAAGUUGGACCAUCAAAAUCACCACACAAUCACGGUCAGUGAAAGAAAGGUGGAAGUGAUGAUGAAGAGUGACCAUUACUUCUUUGAUUUUCUUGGAGUUGGAGCUUUUUGAUUAAUAUUAUGAAGAAUUUGGGUUCAUGAGAAGGGAACUAAUGGUUAGAUAAAGAAAAUUGGUUCAGUUUCUUUUGUUUACCUGGUUAAGUCUUAGCCAUGUUUGUUUAACAUUUUAAUGUGGGCUUUGGUAGAAGUUAGCCGGGUAGGAGUGAAAAAAAAAAGCAAAACAAAAAUUGAAUAA